GUCCACGCCAUAAACGAUGAGAACUGGAUGUCGGGAGGGUCUGCCUCUCGGUGUCGUAGCUAACGCGUUAAGUUCUCCGCCUGGGGAGUACGGCCGCAAGGUUGAAACUCAAAUGAAUUGACGGGGACCCGCACAAGCGGUGGAGCAUGUGGUUUAAUUCGAUGCAACGCGAAGAACCUUACCUGGUCUUUACAUGUCUGGAAUCUCGCAGAGAUGUGAGAGUGCCUUCGGGAACCAGAACACAGGUGCUGCAUGGCUGUCGU
rnacentral:rRNA from 1 species